GUCUACGACCAUACCUCCCUGAACACAACUGAUCUCGUUUGAUCUUGGAAGAUAAGCAGGGUUGGCCCUGGUUAGUACUUGGAUGGAAGACUAUCCACUGGGGAAAGGGAAGAGAAAGACA
rnacentral:rRNA from 1 species